UGGGGAAUAUUGCACAAUGGGCGAAAGCCUGAUGCAGCAAUGCCGCGUGUGUGAAGAAGGCCUUAGGGUUGUAAAGCACUUUCAAUAGAGAAGAAAAGCCUGAGAAUAAUACUUUCAAGCCUUGACUUAACCUAUAGAAGAAGCACCGGCUAAUUCCGUGCCAGCAGCCGCGGUAAUACGGAAGGUGCGAGCGUUAAUCGGAAUUACUGGGUGUAAAGCGCGCGUAGGCUGUUCAACAAGUCGUAUGUGAAAUCCCCGGGCUUAACCUGGGAACUGCAUUCGAAACUUUUGAACUAGAGUAUGGGAGAGGGAAGUAGAAUUUCCGGUGUAGCGGUGAAAUGCGUAGAUAUCGGAAGGAAUACCAGUGGCGAAGGCGACUUCCUGGACCAAUACUGACGCUGAGGUGCGAAAGCGUGGGGAGCAAACAGG
rnacentral:rRNA from 1 species